rnacentral:rRNA from 1 species
UACAGAGGUCUCGAGCGUUGUUCGGAUUCAUUGGGCGUAAAGGGCGCGUAGGCGGUCGGGUAAGUCGGAUGUGAAAUCUCAGGGCUCAACCCUGAAACUGCAUUCGAUACUGCCUGGCUAGGGUACUGGAGAGGAGACUGGAAUUUACGGUGUAGCAGUGAAAUGCGUAGAUAUCGUAAGGAAGACCAGUGGCGAAGGCGAGUCUCUGGACAGUUACCGACGCUGAGGCACGAAGGUCAGGGGAGCAAACGGG